rnacentral:lncRNA from 1 species
UCGGUUGUAUUUCUUAGUCACAUCAAUGCCGGAAAGGAGAUAAUAUACCUAAUCGCCGUAAGUUCGCUUCGUUAGCCAUUUCGAUGACGAAGCGAGAUGACAUACUCAUUUCAACGGCGUUAACGGUAAUUUUAUUCCGUUCCUUGUGAAAAUCUUACGACGUUGUAAAAGCGUGUUGAAGCUACCUUUUUUAUUUUGUAAUUAUGCUCGGGCCCACAUUCUAUGAGGGCCCGAGCGUCUCUCACUUUUCUUAACUCAUGCGCAUUUACCCGACCCAAACUUUUCACCGGAUAUCGCAAGCCCCACUGCCUUCACCCUGAACGUAUUCAAGCGGCAACGUCUUCACUCUUGCUUAUGCUAUUGUUGGAGCUCCAGCAAGACAGGCGACUGCCCGUUGCUGUUUGUGAUUGCGCAUGUGCUACAGAAUCCGUGCCUGUAGCUAUCUUCAAAUGCCUUCGUUUGCCUUGCCGACCGCGAGCAAAAGGGGGCCGCUGAAAAGUAAAAGAAAAAGUGAAACGGGGUUCGUGGGGGCCCCAAAACACUGACAUGCUGACAGGGGGUUGGGGUGUAUUACACUUGCAACCAGUUAGACGUCGGAGCCACUUCAGGCACCCCCAGAUCUUGAGCGGCAUACGUGUCAUGUUCGGAUUUACGUAUGCCGCACUAUGCAUGCUCGAACUCUGCAUGAGGGCCGAUGAUGCGACGGCCUCUGUGAAGCUGUGUGGACCAAAUGCCCGAUUCGCUCCGGAGCUGUAGAUGGACAAAGGGCGAAGGGCUGUGACGCUGAUUUCCUGAUGAGUUGUGUGCUGCUGGCCCCCUGACCUGACGAGUUUACCUUGCAAGGCUGAUGGAAGGGUGCUAGGGGUUAUUCGUUGGGUUCGACGUUGUUACUAAUCUGCGCCUCAGUGUUCCCGUAUGAAGUUGAUAAGUUGCAGUGCGUUUCGACGGCAGCCGGGGAAGCAGUGAAUCAGUUGAUAUUGGUCUAUGUGUGUUAGGAGCCUUCGCUUUGGGCGGAUGAUGGGAUGAGGAUGCUUCACGAUCGGUGCGGCAACAGGGGACCGGGCGUGGAGCGGACAAGGGACGUGGCGGUCCCCCG